GACCAGCUUGCUGGUCGGAUCAGUGGCGAACGGGUGAGUAACACGUGAGUAACCUGCCCCASACUCUGGRAUAAGCCUUGGAAACGAGGUCUAAUACUGGAUAUGAGAUGCCCCUGCAUGGGGAGUGUCUGGAAAGAUUUAUCGGUCUGGGAUGGACUCGCGGCCUAUCAGCUUGUUGGUGGGGUAAUGGCCUACCAAGGCGACGACGGGUAGCCGGCCUGAGAGGGCGACCGGCCACACUGGGACUGAGACACGGCCCASACUCCUACGGGAGGCAGCAGUGGGGAAUAUUGCACAAUGGGCGCAAGCCUGAUGCAGCGACSCCGCGUGAGGGAUGAAGGCCUUCGGGUUGUAAACCUCUUUCAGCAGGGAAGAAGCGCAWGUGACGGUACCUGCARAAGAAGCGCCGGCUAACUACGUGCCAGCAGCCGCGGUAAUACGUAGGGCGCAAGCGUUGUCCGGAAUUAUUGGGCGUAAAGAGCUCGUAGGCGGUUUGUCGCGUCUGGUGUGAAAACUCAAGGCUCAACCUUGAGCUUGCAUCGGGUACGGGCAGACUAGAGUGCGGUAGGGGUGACUGGAAUUCCUGGUGUAGCGGUGGAAUGCGCAGAUAUCAGGAGGAACACCGAUGGCGAAGGCAGGUCACUGGGCCGCAACUGACGCUGAGGAGCGAAAGCAUGGGGAGCGAACAGGAUUAGAUACCCUGGUAGUCCAUGCCGUAGACGUUGGGCACUAGGUGUGGGGCUCAUUCCACGAGUUCCGUGCCGCAGCAAACGCAUUAAGUGCCCCGCCUGGGGAGUACGGCCGCAAGGCUAAGACUCAAAGGAAUUGACGGGGGCCCGCACAAGCGGCGGAGCAUGCGGAUUAAUUCGAUGCAACGCGAAGAACCUUACCAAGGCUUGACAUACACCGGAAACUUCCAGAGAUGGUUGCCCCGCAAGGUCGGUGUACAGGUGGUGCAUGGUUGUCGUCAGCUCGUGUCGUGAGAUGUUGGGUUAAGUCCCGCAACGAGCGCAACCCUCGUCUUAUGUUGCCAGCACGUCAUGGUGGGGACUCAUAAGARACUGCCGGGGUCACUCGGAGGAAGGKGGGGAUGACGUCAAAUCAUCAUGCCCCUUAUGU
rnacentral:rRNA from 1 species